rnacentral:lncRNA from 1 species
AGAAGAGAUCCUCCCGGUGUGAUUGCAAACCUCAGAGCUGAUACAGAGCUUCGAGAUGAGGCAAGUUUGGAGUGGGUAUCUGUACCUUAAGGCAACAGAAGAAGAACAGAGAGUCAAGCACAACCCAGAGUUCCAGUGCCAAAUGAGUCAGUAUGUGAAUUAUCUGCAGUGAAGACUCACCUCAAGACAAGCCCAAAGACCCCCCUGCAGGCACCCCGCUGGCAAGCAGAAGUCAUCUUUGGUGAUUAAGUAGAAUAUCUACCCAAGUUCCAGG